GUGGGGAAUCUUCCGCAAUGGACGAAAGUCUGACGGAGCAACGCCGCGUGAGUGAUGAAGGUCUUCGGAUUGUAAAGCUCUGUUAAUCGGGACGAAAGAGCCUAGUGUGAAUAAUGCUAGGAAGUGAUGGUACCGGAAUAGAAAGCCACGGCUAACUACGUGCCAGCAGCCGCGGUAAUACGUAGGUGGCAAGCGUUGUCCGGAAUUAUUGGGCGUAAAGCGCGCGCAGGCGGAUCUGCCAGUCUAUCUUAAAAGUUCGGGGCUUAACCCCGUGAUGGGAUGGAAACUACAGAUCUAGAGUAUCGGAGAGGAAAGUGGAAUUCCUAGUGUAGCGGUGAAAUGCGUAGAUAUUAGGAAGAACACCAGUGGCGAAGGCGACUUUCUGGACGAAAACUGACGCUGAGGCGCGAAAGCCAGGGGAGCGAACGGGAUUAGAAACCCGAGUAGUCC
rnacentral:rRNA from 1 species